UAUGUGAUCGUCUCUCGCAUAUCAAUAAGCGGAGGAAAAGAAACUAACAAGGAUUCCCCUAGUAACGGCGAGUGAAGCGGGAAGAGCUCAAAUUUGAAAUCUUAAAGGGUUUCCCUUUACGAAUUGUAGUUUAAAGAAGUGUUUUCUGUUGAGGUUUUGGUAAAAGUUCUUUGGAAUAGGACAUCAUAGAGGGUGAGAAUCCCGUAUUUGACCUUUACUUUCAACUUUGUGAUACACUUUCAAAGAGUCGGAUUGUUUGGGAAUGCAGUCCAAAAUGGGUGGUAAAUUUCAUCUAAAGCUAAAUAUUGGCGAGAGACCGAUAGCGAACAAGUACCGUGAGGGAAAGAUGAAAAGGAACUUUGAAAAGAGAGUUAAACAGUACGUGAAAUUGUCAAAAGGGAAGCGUUUGACACCAGUGUUGUUUUUCUGAAAAUCAAUUAAAGAACUGUUUAUGCUAAGCUGUUUAGACUUUAUCAGCUAACUGUUUAGUUUUGAGCUUUUCUUUAAUGCACUUUUCAGUUAACAAGUCAACAUCAAUUUCUUUUGCUGUAAAAAAGCUUGAGGAAGGUGGCUUGAGAUUCGUCUUAAGUGUUUAUAGCCUCUUGCCUAUGCAGUCGGAGAGAUUGAGGUCUGCAGCGUAGAUCCUUCGGGGCUAAAUGCAUUUGUGCUAAGUUAUAGCAUUUUAUAGACAACUUGUUGACUAUGAUUUGUCUUGUAGCUUACUCGCUUAUGUUAUUUUACCUACGCUUAGGAUGUUGAACGCGCACAGAGUCUC
rnacentral:rRNA from 1 species